rnacentral:rRNA from 1 species
GAUGAACGCUGGCGGCGUGCCUAACACAUGCAAGUCGAACGGUUAAGGCGCCUUCGGGCGCGAAUAGAGUGGCGAACGGGUGAGUAACACGUGACCAACCUGCCCCGCGCUCUGGGACAGCCUCGGGAAACCGGGAUUAAUACCGGAUGCGCCGGGGGGCGCGCAUGCGCCCCCCGGGAAAGCCUCAGCGGCGCGGGAUGGGGUCGCGGCCCAUCAGGUAGACGGCCGGGUGACGGCCGGCCGUGCCUACGACGGGUAGCCGGGUUGAGAGACCGACCGGCCACAUUGGGACUGAGAUACGGCCCAG